UUUCUCUUGUAAGCAUGCUUAUCACCCAGGGACUAGUCUACCAAGGAACUACAGAGAAGCAAUCCUGUGCCUUUCUCUGUGCCGGAGUCCUGUGUCUCCCAAGG
rnacentral:sRNA from 1 species